UUGAAAAUAACGAAUAGAACCUUCCACGUUUCCAACAGUCGAGACUUCUCCUGGCGACCUAAUUCCCCCAAACCCCAAGAAUAAACGUUAGGCCGCUACUCUUCUCGACAUUUACGCGCGGCGGCAGGACACAACCAGAGAACUGACUCUUUGGCAUAGCCGGAGGCACACUCUUCUCUCAUCUCCUCUCGAUUUUUUUUAAUCCCUGAAGUUAAAGAAAUGCCUACUUCGAAGUUGAUAAUUUUUACGAUAUGGCACAAAGGAAAACUUGUCUUCCAUCCUGCCAGACGUUACAGUAAUGGAAAAGCCAUAUUUUACUCUCUGGAUAAGAAAAUAAUUUCCCCUCAUAUUUUGGAAUUAAUUAUAACUUUUAUGGGGUAUGUAAAGUAUAGGCUCUGUUUUGUUCCCCACCUUGAGAAUUUGGAUAAGGAACUGUAUGCCCUUGAUGACCCGAAAGACUUCACAAUGGAUCCUAAGAGCUCAUUUAACAAAGAAACGUACUAAGGGACGGGGGUAAAAACUCUAUAUAAAACGCACAUAUCAAACUCCCCCAAGCUAGUGUAGGGGAAUACAGUUAAACAUGUAGCAUGUGCGGAACAUCCCCAAAGCCAGGAAACGUGUAUAAAGCACAGAUUAAGCAUACUUACAUUGAAGCGUGUUUUACCGAGUUUAUUAUCAACGAACACGAACAAAGAACUCCAAUUGUCGUUCCUCCAUUUGGUUGACUGACACGUUCAGAUCCGUCUUGAUAAUCGUAGCUUAGACAAUAUUCAAGAGUGUUUGCUUUUUCGGGAAGAACAGUUUAGAGUAGAGAGCAAAACUGAAACAAAUUAAUUUCAGAAUUAGGUUUAGGGGUGUGGAAAAACUGAUUAGUGUGUGGAAUAUAAGCCUAGAGUUAUAUUAGUGUAACCGGCCAAGACACAAGGCCUUGACAGGCCAAACACACACACACCCCGCAAGCCACAUGCGCGUAGCCCACUGCAGGUCGAAGCCUACAACGCACGAGCAGCAGCGAUGGGUCGCGGGCCUCGCUUGCUUGCUCGCUGCUUUAUCUUGUCCCAUUGCGCGAACACUCGUGCCGCGGGCUGGCUUGCUCGCUGCGCGAACUUGCUGGCUCGACGGGCCAGCAGCUCCGUUGCGGCUCGUAUUCGCGAAGAAUGCCUUACGGCUAUUAUUUAUCGUAUCGUACACGACAAAUCACCGUCAUACGAUACGAUUAUUCAUUUUGCCCAACUUACGAAUAUUCGCGAUACGAUAUACGAUUCCUAUGUUUUUCCGAACUAAUUCCCGAAAAGCUAUUAAAUGAAUUUCCGAUUCACUUAAUCCGGUGAUCUGUUACAUGCCACUGGUGUGACCUUAUAGGUUUAGUCAAGAGUAAACUGUAAGCCUAAUAUAGAUUAGAACUCACGGAUCGGAAGCAUUGCUCCAGCUAGAUGUUCCGAUCACUUGAUUUCACUGAAUUAAUUGUUCGUAAUUAAUCUGAACCUUGGUAUUAGACUUAAUGCACCUUGGGUGAAGGACACAUUUCCUUUAGUCUCCCACUUGUCAUUCAGACAAGUGUGCAUCCACAUUCCUUUGUCGCUUAGUGUUACUUGCUGAACAUAAGGUAAGAUCCAAGCCAUCCUUAUUAGGUCCAUAAGUGUUUCUCAGAUUACUGAGUUCAACUGUUAAACUUUUACAGAAGGUUAAGCCUUAACCAUUCUGAGCACGGCCAUGCAUUUUCACAAUAUCUAACUCUCCGAGAGGCCUUGUUAAACAACAACACCAUAUCUUAUCAAAGAUAGGAGGACAAUCCAUUCUUGCAAUCUAUGAACACUCACUUUGAUUCAUAGUACGCCCAAUAAGUGCUUUUAUAGCCUCCUUUUACGGUGCGACGUUUUGCUAGCAUUAGAGCGAAUUAAUUCUCAAACGAGCAAUCUUAAUUACUCAUGUUCUGAGGAAUGGUUCUAAUCACCAUUAAUGAGAACUACUUAUGACAUGAAUUUAAUCUCUUAAAGUGUUCUCAUGGUCAAUCCGAUACAAGAUCCAAUAAGUAUCUAUGCAAAAGGUUCUGACAUCCAGUCAAUCUAGUACAAGAAACCGAACUACAAAUCUACUUGCAAUCUAAUCUUCAUUAGUCAUUGAUCGUCCACCUUUCAAUGACCUGGAUUAGGGAUCCUUUGUGACUUCAAUAUUCAAGUUCACUUAUGGGUAUUUCUUUGUCGAAGAAUCCAUCUUGACAUCCCAUUUGAAUGUUUUGAAUCACAUGGACUUUUCAUUUAAUACUAAACCAAAUUAAAUGAAUAUGAAAUAAGAAAUUUCAUAAAUAUGAAUGGUUAAACCAAUUGUUUUAAACACAUAUCUAACAGAUGUUCUAAAAGAAAACUUAGAAAAUUAAAGUCAUUCUCCAAUAUUCUUGAUUCCCAUGGUGUUGCUACAUGUGCAUUGUGCUUCGCUUGUGGCAACGGUUUAGUAAAUGGAUCCGCGACGUUGUCGUCAGUUCCAACCUUGCAAAUCUGAUGAGCGACAUUUAUGUCGCUCUUAGCAUAGGAUUUUAGUUCAUUUUUUUAGCAUUUUAUUAUUAUUAUUUUUGCUUAGUUUUAUCGUUUUUAGUUCGUUUAUCGCAUUUUUGCAUUAAUCGUAACAUUUUCUCGUCUUGCGUAUAUUUUAGUCGUUUUUGCUCUAAACGUGCCUUUUGUGCGCAUUCUCAUUGCGUAAGGGUCGUUUUGAGUAUUAACGUGUUAAAUAAUGUGUCAUUAUGCUUGUCGACGAUUAUUAUGUUUUACGAUUUGUAAAAAUGUUAAACGAAUUAAUAAUACGAUUUUCGAUUUUUAAUAACGUGCUUUGCGAUUUGCUAACUUGCUAUACGAUUCUUUGCAUGUGCAGCGACAAAGCCUUGUGUGUGCAUACCAACAGCAGCCUUGCAGCAACACACACGAACAACAUGCCAUAGCCACUGCAGUGCACACAUACAAGAGCAAGCAAUGGCAGCCACUGCAGUGCACACACACGAGGAAUGACAGCCACUGCUAGCUGUUGUACACGAGUCCAUAAGCUGUUGUGCAUCGGCCUUACAGCAGCCCCGUGUGCUCAUUUUCAUGUGCCUCGCAGUACCUUGACAGCGAGAGAGUAGCAAGGCAGAAUUGCAGCCACUGCAGAACAGCAAACAACCAGCUACAAACAGCAGAAGUAACACGCAAACAACAGUUGUACACGAGCCCUUGUAGCAGCCUCGUGAGCUCUCCAACUUGAGCCUUGCAAGUCCCUUGAUAGCAGCUGCACAAGAGCAAGCAUUAGCAGCCAUAGCAGCUACAGAGCUGCGGCUACACACGCCAUUACAGCAUCUAAACUCCAAGCAGAAGUGAGAGCAAGCAAACACGCAAAGCUGCAGUUUGCAGAGCUGUGCGUUCGCACGGCCUUGCUGUGCGACCACACGGAGUUGCUCGACCGCACAAAACAGCAAAAAAUCUUGCAGGAACUCCCCGUGUUUUUGUGCGAACGCACGGACCCUUGUGUGCGAUCGCACGGCUACGCGGAAGUGAUGUUUAAAUACGAAAUCGCAGCAUUGUUUCGAAGUGUAGAAUUUCAUAAUUAGAAUUAGUUUUCUCAAAUUAGUUUAGGCGUAGAGAGAGAAAUAGAUUAGAGCUUAGGUUAGAGGAUAGAAUUUAGGAUUCUUAGCUUAAAUCUUUCAAUUUAUUAGUGAAUUAAAACAUAAAUUUCAGAUUUCCUUCUCUUUAAUUUGAGCUUAGUUCUUCAA